rnacentral:tRNA from 2 species
GGUGACGUGGGUGAGUGGCUGAAACCAGCAGUUUGCUAAACUGCCGUAGGGGUUACCCUACCGAGGGUUCGAAUCCCUCCGUCACCGCCA